GCUCCCCUCAGCAGUCCGUGUACUAAAAUCGGAACGGUACAGAGAAUAUUAGCAUGGCCCCCGCACAAGGAUGAUGUGAAAUUUGUAAAGCAUUCUAUAUUUUU